AAAAAGGUGUUUAUUGUGCUCCACAUUUUCAGGUUGGAACCUUGGCAGAUACUAUGACAAUAUCAAAAGUCAAAUCACAAACAAAAUAAAUAAUCAAGGUAUCAUAAUUCCUCCUUGCAACCUAAGAAGGCAUGUUCUUGCUUGCAAGGCUGCAACAGGACCAACUUUCCCAUAAUAUAGCAAAAUAGCAGAUGUUCUCAUAUAAGCUUGAUUCUUCAUGACCAUGAUUUGGUAUUUU
rnacentral:misc_RNA from 1 species